GACGAACGCUGGCGGCGUGCUUAACACAUGCAAGUCGAACGGAAAGGCCCUGCUUUUGUGGGGUGCUCGAGUGGCGAACGGGUGAGUAACACGUGAGUAACCUGCCCUUGACUUUGGGAUAACUUCAGGAAACUGGGGCUAAUACCGGAUAGGAGCUCCUGCUGCAUGGUGGGGGUUGGAAAGUUUCGGCGGUUGGGGAUGGACUCGCGGCUUAUCAGCUUGUUGGUGGGGUAGUGGCUUACCAAGGCUUUGACGGGUAGCCGGCCUGAGAGGGUGACCGGCCACACUGGGACUGAGAUAAGGCACAGACUCCUACGGGAGGCAGCAGUGGGGAAUAUUGCACAAUGGGCGGAAGCCUGAUGCAGCAACGCCGCGUGCGGGAUGACGGCCUUCGGGUUGUAAACCGCUUUCGCCUGUGACGAAGCGUGAGUGACGGUAAUGGGUAAAGAAGCACCGGCUAACUACGUG
rnacentral:rRNA from 1 species